rnacentral:rRNA from 1 species
AUUGAUGAAAUAACAACUGUCUCUAUUUUAUUUAAUGAAUUUAAAUUUUUAGUAAAAAUUCUGAAAUUUAAUUAUGGGACGAUAAGACCCUAUAGAAUUUUAUUUAAUAUAAUUAUUUAUUUAAAUUAUUUGUGAAUAUAUAAUUAAUUUAAAUUUGAUUGGGAGGAUUGGUAAAUAAAAAUAACUUUAUCUAAAAAUUAAUUUUGAUGAAAAGAUUUUUUUUGACUUAUAAUUUAUGAUUAAAAGAAUAAAUUACCUUAGGGAUAACAGCGUAAUAUCUUUUGAUAGACCACAUUGAUAAAGAUGUUUGCGACCUCGAUGUU